UGACUUCUUCUCGCGUCUCAUCUAAAAUACUUUACUCCUACAAAUCUUACAUAUUUUACUAAUGGUAUCAUAAAGACUGAAGCAACUAAUUUUUGAAAAGUAAGAGAAAAAGCUUACAUGAAGCCAAAACUUAGAGGUCUUCUGUAAUAUACUUUUUUUAUUUUAUUUGGAAAUAUCUUUUCGCAUUUCAUUACUUAAUUAACUACGCUAUGAUUAAUGAUUCCAGAAAAACAGAAGUUCUUCAAA
rnacentral:misc_RNA from 1 species